rnacentral:lncRNA from 1 species
CUUCCCCUUAGUCUUCUUCUUCUUUAAGAUAGUCUUAGAGAUUGAAGUAGGUCCUUUUCAACUAUUAAGGAAGUGAUCUUUGUAAGAAAACUAGCACUCUAGAGAGAUCAAAGAGCUUCUGAUCAGAUCAGGCCUUGUAUGGAUAUCCGUAAAGAUCGGGCACGUGCACAGCUACACCAGAACCUGAGACAUCCUCAGAUCUGAAUCUGAAUAAGGAGAUCAGCGAUUCAAGUAUAUGAUUCGAUCGCAUAUUUAUUUUUAUUAUCCAAAAUUAGAUGCUUUAUGUUUUGUUUAUCAUCAUAUUGUUAGGAUCGCCAUGCACCUGCAUGCACCUGAGGAGACCAACGAUGGAGACCUCUCCAAUAGUCCAUGGUAAUCUGGACUCUCUAAGAACAGCAAACGCCAUGCCCUCGAUCGCUGCGUUGCCUGAACCUUGCAGCAGCGAUCUAGU